rnacentral:rRNA from 1 species
AACGAACGCUGGCGGCAGGCUUAACACAUGCAAGUCGAACGCACCUUUCGGGGUGAGUGGCAGACGGGUGAGUAACGCGUGGGAAUCUACCCUUCUCUACGGGAUAGCUCCGGGAAACUGGAAUUAAUACCGUAUACGUCCUGAGGGAGAAAGAUUUAUCGGGGAAGGAUGAGCCCGCGUUGGAUUAGCUAGUUGGUGGGGUAAAGGCCUACCAAGGCGACGAUCCAUAGCUGGUCUAAGAGGAUGAUCAGCCACAUUGGGACUGAGACACGGCCCAAACUCCUACGGGAGGCAGCAGUGGGGAAUAUUGGACAAUGGGCGCAAGCCUGAUCCAGCCAUGCCGCGUGAGUGAUGAAGGCCCUAGGGUUGUAAAGCUCUUCCAGUGGGGACGAUAAUGACGGUACCCACAGAAGAAGCCCCGGCUAACUUCGUG